ACAAGACGAAAAGCCGGAUGUAUCUAUAUACCGUCCGUGCAUUGGCUGACGCGGAGGUAUGCUACCGACUCGGCUGCGUGGACGCGGGCACGAAGAAAGGAGCGCCGACUGACCAACGAUACUUUGACUGCGCAUGUGUGCCACUCAAGUGCAACAGUUCACGAGGCAUCCCAGGCCCCGAAAGAAGUUGGAAGAAGAUGCAAGCGCAGCAUGCCAAUGUUGUUGAAUAUUGCAGCACGAAGUUUCCAGGCGCAAGUGUUUCUUAUAUAAAAGAAAGCCUAUUCUCUCCCCUCACAAGGGAAAUAAAAUCACUAUAUAAAAAUGCCUUUUCAUGUGCCUUUUUUUGCUUUCCUGUUGGCUGCAGUUAAUAUUCAGCCUCAGUGAGCCAAAUCUUGCUACUUUAGACCUUAGUGAGAUAUAUCCCAGUACAAUGAAAAUACAAUGAAAAUUCAUCUCGAUCUAAAUCCAAUGAAUAUACAAUAACGAACCAAUGGAAAAACAACACAAUAAUACUACAACAGAUUUUCAAUGGAUUCACGGUGGCCACUUUUCCAUGACUACUCAACAAAUCUACAAUGAAAUACCAAUAAAAAUUCCACAAUUUUUUUGUUGAUGGUGGCACGAAAUAUCAAUGGAAAACCAAUGGAAUUCCAACAACAUUUUUUG